GGCUAAGCUCUAAAGACACAAAAUAGUGUGAUCUCUUCCUUCAAGAGCUAUACAAAUGAUCUGGAUGGGCAUGGACUAAGCACGUGAGACUUCAAAAUGGCAGAGUUUCCUCCAGGAGGUGGUAGAAGAGGAGGAGACUUCCUAAGCCCAAGGAGAAUUCAAUAUAGCUUCACUGACAUGGAGAUUCAUGAGGAUAUGCAAGGGGCUCAUUCUGUCAAACCUAAGACAGGAUCGUGAUGUGACCUAAUAAGUCAAACAAUAGAUUUGAAGCCUUGCAGAAAAUGAAUGGGACAUAAGUUCAAGACAUGGAAAAGAAAUGAGCAGGAAGAGUGUCUAGCUGGCUGAGAGUGAGAAGAGUCAAAAGCAAGCCCUUCCCUCCAAGCUGGAAUUCAGCUAGCAGAAGAUUCUAAUUGGAAAGAUAGCAACCAUGGAGCUGCUGUUCUGUCUGUGUCCUGCCUUCCUAGAGGAAACAGCCACUAAAACAAGGUCCUCUGUCAUUAAAAGAAAGCUGGAGCCUUCACUACC